CUCUUUUUGUCUUCUCGGGUCUUCGUUGGUGGUGUGAUCUUCUCGGGUCUUCGCUUCUUCUUCUUCUAGGGUUUGGUGUUUGUUUCGGCAGCGAAUUUAUGAUCCCAAUCAUCGAUCCCCCCCGCUUCGUCUUCAUCGAUCGCUGUCUAGGGAGGAAUUGAAGGAAUGGGAUCAGUAGUGUCUCUUGCUGCUUGGUGAUGCUUAAUGAUGGAAUCGUCUAUGAUGCUAAGGUUUUAGAUGAUGCUUUUAUCUAACAGUGAUGGCUUUGAUUGAUCUUCCUCAUGGGUUUUGGAUGAUGCUUUGUGAUGCUAAGGUUGAAUGCUAAAGAUGGUUGUUUGUAACGGGACUUCUUAAUAGCACAUCGCAACGACGACGCACACACUUAGUUUCCUCUCUUCUCUGGUUAUUGUUAACAUUCAUCCCACUGGAUUGUAAAUUCCCGUUUGAGCUUUCCGGUCUCCCCAUGGGCACCAAGUAGUGUAUAGACGCCCGCCGUAACGGUUGAGGGAUUUCUCAUCAGCCACGAACAUGAGUAGGUUCAUCCAUCUCAAUGUAGCUACUUGGCACACGAACUCCAUUGUUUGGUAUCAGGGACAAGAAGUUUCAAUAGUUUCUGGAUUAGGUGAAGGCACAUCCCAUAGAGCUCAUUGCCAGCUAGGUUCUCCCAUUACAAAGGUUACUGUUAAUAUUCAUCCCACUGGAUUGUAAAUUCCUGUUUGAACUUUCCUUUCUCCACAUGCGCGCUACUAUAACAAUGUCUUCCAUGGCUGUAAUGACCAAACUGAUAUUGGUGUAUAGACAACGUAACGGUAACAUGCUGCUGAAUGGUUUAUUAGGAUCUGCCAUGGUUUGAAGACUGGUGGUGAUGAAGAAGAAGACUCUGACUGCUUGAGGAACAAACAGAGACAUCUUCACAGAGAGAGAGACAUCGUCUAAGCAGAUCAGAGAGACAUAUGGGCUAACCAAGCCACAUCACUCAGAGACAUCUUCUAUUGCUUUAACGAAACAAGUGUUUUAAGCAGAUCGGAGAUGGUUUGAAGAAUGUUGAAGAAGACGACUCGGACUGCUUUAAGAUUUUGGCAGCUACACCUUUGCCUGCAACACAAACUACUACAGCACAUGUGCUAGCUAGAAUUUCAGGGACAAUGGCAAGGAUUUACCUGCCAGCUCAGAGAGAGACAUUUUUCAAUUGCUUUAACGACAGAAAUAUCUAAGCAGAUCGGAGAUGGUUUGAAUAAUUAUGAAGAAGAAGACUCAUACUUGUUAAGGAACAAUGGCAAGGGAUAACCUGUCAGCUCACACUGAGACAUCUUCACAGAGAGACAUCGUCUAAGCAGUGAGCAGAUCAUAGAGAGAUAUGGACAAAUUGUUUAUCAUUGACAUGAACAAUGGCAAGGGCUAACCAAGCCAGAUCACACAGAGACGUCUUCUAUUUCUUUAACGAAAGAAGUGUUAAAGCAGAUCGGAGAUGGUUUGAAGAAUGAUGAAGGAUACUCAAUAGUGCUUAAGGCUUUCUUUCUAUCAUCAACACCACGUUCCAUAAGUGAAGAACGAGAGAAUGGAACAAAAUCGUCAGCUCACACUGAGACAUCUUCACAGAGAGACAUCGUCUAAGCAGUGAGCAGAUCAUAGAGAGAUAUGGACAAAUUGUUUAUCAUUGACAUGAACAAUGGCAAGGGCUAACCAAGCCAGAUCACAAAGAGACGUCUUCUAUUUCUUUAACGAAAGAAGUGUUAAAGCAGAUCGGAGAUGGUUUGAAGAAUGAUGAAGGAUACUCAAUAGGGCUUAAGGUUUUCUUUCUAUCAUCAACACCGUUCCAUAAGUGAAGAACGAGAGAAUGGUUCACUUUCUUCCCAUUAUUACUACCGAUGAUGAUUCCUUAUGAGUCUUACUUCACUUUAGAAGAGAGUCAUAGCUUGCUUAUUGAAUCUAGUGAUGAAGAAGAAGACUCUGACCGCUUGAGG